ensembl:lncRNA
GGAUCACUUUAGCUCAGGAAUUCAAGAGCAGCCUAGGCAAUACAGUGAGGCCUCACCUCUACAAAAAACUUAAAAGUUAGCCCGGCAUGAUGGUGCACUCCUGCCGUCUGAGCUACCUGGGGGGCCGAGGCGGGAGAAUCGCUUGAGCCCAGGAGUUUGAGGCUGUAGUGAGCCGUGAUUGUGCCACUGCACUCCCACUGGGCGACAGAGCGAGUCUGUCUCAAAAACAAACAAAAACGCUUAUGUCAAUCUGAAUAAGGCCAAAGGAUCGUAUCAGUAUCUUGCUUACGAUAGGCACGAAAGUCAUGCAAGAUGGCAGCAGUGGGGACACCAGGCAGAGGAUAAAUGGUCUGUGCUAUUUCUCACAACUGCACGUAAAUCUACAAUUAUCUUUUGGCUGGGAAAACACAGUCCACGCUCUUGUAAGCUUGCAUGUGUACAGAUGACCCCGGGGGACACAGAAGAAACACACCACAGGAGGCCAUGCCUCGGGGGAGUCCUGCUUGGCGUCAUGGGGCAGGGUCUCUUUGGACUGCAGGCUCUUCUGUACCUUUUGAAUUUUGUACCAUGAACAAAUACUUAAUGGAUGCAAAAUAACUUUGCUAAUUUACAAACAGCUGGCUUCAUGCAGAGUUUCUUUUAGGGGCAGGAAAAUGUUCUAAAAUUAACUGUGGUGAGGGUUGCACGCAUCUGUGAAUACACUAAAACCCACUGAAUUGUACACUUUUUUAAGUGGGUGAGUUGUAUGGUUAAACAAUAAAGUGAUUUUUAAAAAUAGCUGGCUGGUCAGUGCCAUCUCUUAUUGCCUGGUAAGAUCCUCCCAGCUCCCAGGGGAGAACAGAAAAGAAUUCCUGAGCCUCCUGCUGUGUGCACGGGGACCCUGCUCCGGUUCUUGGCACUCCUGGCUGGUUAAGCUGGGUUGCGGCAGCAGGAGCAGAGAAGGGCAGUGGGUGUUUAAAUUCUCGGCUUCUGACUCCAAGCUCCCUUUGUCCCUAAACACAGCCAGGCCCUGAGGCCUCCGCAACACUCACUUCCUAUCCAGGAAACCAAGGAUAACCUUCUUCUGCUCCUUCCUUCCCAGGGCCCACCACAGUCAGGUGCCAUAAGAGGACAACACCCCAGGCCACGUGGCUCACGCCUGUAAUCCCAGCACCUUGGGAGGCCGAGGCGGGAGCAUCGCUCGAGUCCAAGAGUUUGAGACCAGCCUGGGCAAUAUAGUGAAACUUCGUCUCUACAAAAAAUGUAAAUACUAGCUGGGCAUGGGGACGCAUGCGUGCAGUCCUAGCUACUUAGGGGCUGAGAUGGGAGGAUCGCUUGAGCCUAGACGGUAGAGGCUGCAGUGAGCCAUGAUGACGCAACUGCACUCCAGCCUGGGUGACAGGCCGGGCGCAGUGACUCAUGCCUGUAAUCCUAACACUCUGGGAGGCCGAGGCAGGUGGAUCACCUGAGGUUGGGAGUUCAAAACCAGCCUGACCAACAUGGAGAAACCCCAUCUCUACUAAAAAUACAAAAUAAGCCGGGUGUGGUGGCACAUGGUUGUAAUCCCAGCUACUAGGGAAGCUGAGGCAGGAGAAUUGCUUGAACCUGGGAGGCGGAGGUUGCGGUGAGCCGAGAUCAUUGCACUCCAGCCUGGGCAACAAAAGUGAAACUCCAUC